GAUGAACGCUGGCGGCGUGCCUAAUACAUGCAAGUCGAGCGAACGGACGAGAAGCUUGCUUCUCUGAUGUUAGCGGCGGACGGGUGAGUAACACGUGGAUAACCUACCUAUAAGACUGGGAUAACUUCGGGAAACCGGAGCUAAUACCGGAUAAUAUUUUGAACCGCAUGGUUCAAAAGUGAAAGACGGUCUUGCUGUCACUUAUAGAUGGAUCCGCGCUGCAUUAGCUAGUUGGUAAGGUAACGGCUUACCAAGGCAACGAUGCAUAGCCGACCUGAGAGGGGGAUCGGCCACACUGGAACUGAGACACGGUCCAGACUCCUACGGGAGGCAGCAGUAGGGAAUCUUCCGCCAUGGGCGAAAGCCUGACGGUGCAACGCCGCGUGAGUGAUGAAGGUCUUCUGAUCGUAAAACUCUGUUAUUAGUGAAGAACAUAUGUGUAAGUAACUGUGCACAUCUUGACGGUACCUAAUCAGAAAGCCACGGCUAACUACGUG
rnacentral:rRNA from 1 species